rnacentral:rRNA from 1 species
AUAUCAAUAAGCGGAGGAAAAGAAACCAACAGGGAUUGCCUCAGUAACGGCGAGCGAAGCGGCAAAAGCUCAAAUUUGAAAUCUGGCGCUUUCAGCGUCCGAGUUGUAAUUUGAAGAAGCAACUUUGGGGUUGGCCUUUGCACAUGUUCCUUGGAACAGGACAUCAUAGAGGGUGAGAAUCCCGUACAUGGUGAGGUGCCCAACCCUUUGUAAAGUGCUUUCCAAGAGUCGAGUUGUUUGGGAAUGCAGCUCUAAGUGGGUGGUAAAUUCCAUCUAAGGCUAAAUAUUGGCGAGAGACCGAUAGCGAACAAGUACAGUGAUGGAAAGAUGAAAAGAACUUUGAAAAGAGAGUGAAAUAGUACGUGAAAUUGUUGAAAGGGAAGGGCUUGAAAUCAGACUUGGCUUGUAGUGAUCAACUGUCUCUUGGGACUGUGCACUCGCUGCUUGCUAGGCCAACAUCGGUUUUGGCGGUAAGAUAAUGUCAGUUGAAUGUGGCUCAUUCGUGAGUGUUAUAGCUUCUGUCGAUAUUGCCAGCUGGGACCGAGGACUGCGCUUUAUGCUAGGAUGUUGGCGUAAUGAUUUUAAGCCAC